UACGAAGGGGGCUAGCGUUGCUCGGAAUGACUGGGCGUAAAGGGCGCGUAGGCGGAUUGUACAGUCAGGCGUGAAAUUCCCGGGCUCAACCUGGGAACCGCGCUUGAGACUGGCACGCUCGAGUUCGGGAGAGGAUGGUGGAAUUCCCAGUGUAGAGGUGAAAUUCGUAGAUAUUGGGAAGAACACCGAUGGCGAAGGCAGCCAUCUGGACCGACACUGACGCUGAGGCGCGAAAGCGUGGGGAGCAAACAGG
rnacentral:rRNA from 1 species